UGGGGAAUCUUGCGCAAUGGGCGAAAGCCUGACGCAGCGACGCCGCGUGAGUGAUGAAGGCCUUCGGGUUGUAAAGCUCUGUGGGGAGAGACGAAUAAGUGCAGCCUAAUACGCUGCAUGAUGACGGUAUCUCCUUAGCAAGCACCGGCUAACUCUGUGCCAGCAGCCGCGGUAAGACAGAGGGUGCAAACGUUGUUCGGAAUUACUGGGCGUAAAGCGAGUGUAGGCGGUUUCCUAAGUCAGGUGUGAAAGCCCCGGGCUCAACCCGGGAAGUGCACUUGAAACUGGGAGGCUAGAGUAUCGGAGAGGUUGGUGGAAUUCUCGGUGUAGAGGUGAAAUUCGUAGAUAUCGAGAGGAACACCGGUGGCGAAGGCGGCCAACUGGACGAAUACUGACGCUGAGACUCGAAAGCGUGGGGAGCAAACA
rnacentral:rRNA from 1 species